CUAGAAAUAGUUAAGCAAUUAAAAUUAGAAGUUCAAAAAAAUUCAAUUAGUGCAAAAAGAGUUGAGUGAACAAGUAGAUAAGUUACAUGAUAAAAUAGAUAAAUUAUUCAAUUAGUGCAAAAAGAGUUGAGUGAACAAGCAUUUUAAUAGUAUAAUUAUAAUAGUAAAUUAUGUACCUUGGGAUAGGAAGUCAUUAACACAACUGAUAUCACACACUUGUUUAACUUUAUAUGAACAAUAGAUAUUAUUGUCUUUGUAGACCAUGUCAACCACAACCACCAUGUAUUUAUUAUCCUAGACAUCCAACUACAACUUGCAUAAAGAGAAGAUUAGCAUAUAUUUCCAAAAGAAUUAGCAAGACUUUGAAGAAGUAGAAGUUUUAUGCUGGUUAUCUUGAACACUAUUAAUAAAUAUAAUAACAAAAAAGUGCGACAUAACGUACUAGCAGCAAAAAGAAUAACAUAUCAUACUUUAGAGACCUUGUGAGAAGAAAGAGAGUUUUUAAGAAACUAGUUAAUCAUAACUUUAGAGAAAGGUAGACUGUAGUUUAUGAUAGAUUAUCUUAAUUUAGAAAUUAGUGAACCUCAAAAAAGAAAAAUCACUCUAGACCCAAAUAGUUUAGUUUGUUAUUUUCCUUUGAGAAAACAUAAUCAUAUUUUGUAUAGUGAAGAAGAUCCACGAGUCAAUAGUAUUAUAGAUCUUAUUAUUAGUCAAGCAGAAAAUAUAAAACUAGAAAAUAAUAAGCAUAAUUAUUUGUUAAACCAGUUGUUAGAGCAUUUUCAGAAAAAUUCCAUAAAAACAAUUAGACAAAAUUUAGAUUAUAUUAUAUCUCAGUUAGAAGAUAAUAAUAAAAAUAUCCAAAGGUUUCCUUGCAAAAGAGAGAUAAAAGAGCUUAUUGACCUCAUAGAUAGUAAAUCUAAACAAGUAGAACUUAGAUCACUAGAAAUAGUUGAGCAAAUAAAAUUAGAAGUUCAGAAAAUUCAAUUAGUGCAAAAAGAGUUGAGUGAACAAGUAGAUAAGUUACAUGAUAAAAUAGAUAAAUUAUUCAAUUAGUGCAAAAAGAGUUGAGUGAACAAGCAUUUUAAUAGUAUAAUUAUAAUAGUAAAUUAAGUACCUUGAGGUAGGAAGUCAUUAACACAACCAAUGUCUUAAAUGCCGAUAAUAUCGGCGAUAUUUCGCCGAUAUUAUCGGUUUUUUGCUUUACCGAUAUUUUAAUAGGUAUCCAAGGUGUUUUCGUCAAAAUAUCGCGAUAUUACCGAUAAUAUCGCGAUAUUACCAAUAAUAUCGCAAAAUUUUGGAUUUGUGAAAAUCGGAGAAGAACGCCGGAGCUUUUACAGCUCCGGCCGACUGUAAAAGAGCACCCUAGACUCCGAUCUAGGUAUCAAAAUGAAAUAGAAGACGAGAGGAAUGUUUUUAUAACUUUCGUUUGCGUGAAACGGUCAGAGGUGGUCGGAAAGUUCGUCGACACUCACAGCCUCGCCGGAGCUGGGUGUGCCUUCCCCCAGGUCGAUCUCCUCCUAAAACCUUGUUAAAAAAACCAGAUAAAACUUAGUAUAUCUCGAUUCUCAACCACACCACACAACAUCCAAGAUGAAUUGAGGGCUUACCUAACCGGAGAAGGAUCAAGAGAACUCGCCGGAGAGUUCCUGGGUUUCACUGUCCUAGCUGCACCUAGAGAAAGGAAGAGAAAGACGAGGUUUAGCUUGUCUCUAUGAAGAUGAGGGAAGAGAGAGUGCUGCCGACGACGAAUUUCUGCAGCGCGUCUGUGAAGAUGAGGGAGGAGACGGUGCAGAGAGAGAAGCGCAUCUGUGAAGAUGAGGGAUGAGACGGUGUGGGAGAGAGAGAGAGAGAGAGAGAGGGAGAGACAGAGAGAGAAAGAGAGACUUUAACAUACCACCUAAGGUGGACGGGUAGUGGACGAGAGACUUAAACAAACAAAACCAUGGGCUCUGAUGGUUGUAACUUGUAAUUAUGAGGUGGACAAGUGACGUGAAAGAGGUGAGGUGCACCUCCGAUGGUUUUAACUUUUAAUAAUGAAGGCCAUCCAUUUAUAUUUUUAAAAGUUUAGGAUAUAUAUUAUAUAUAUAUAUAUAUAUGUUAUAUAAAUUAUAAAUUAUUUAGAUAAUAUUUUGUUUUUUUUUACUAAGCAAGCAGAUUAUAUUCGAACCCUCCCUUUGUCAACCACGCACAUGGGCCUUAUCCAACUCGCUACAGAUGUGUUUGUGAUUACAUAUUCAACCUGUAAUAUUUAUAUGGUCGUUAAGAUGUUUGCAAGGCUUGCAAGCUAAUAUUUAUUAUCUAGGAUAAAUUUCUAUAUUUUAAAAAACACCAAGGUGAACAUUUUGAAUCUUAUAGGAACUCUAUGUGGUACUAAGUCACUCAUGUAUCUUACCAUGCAAUGUAUAAAGUGUAAAAUAUUGUACUAAUUCAUUAUAUAUAAAUGAUUAUGGUGUGUUUAAACUUCUUUCAUUAAUUACUACAUAUUUUCUACACUCAUAAUGUUUGCCAGCUUGCUAUAUAAUCAACUUAAAUCAGUUAAAUCCAUCAUGCAAUGCAUUUCCUUCUAAUUUUUUGUGAUAAACUAAUAGAUAAUUGAUUAAAUAAACAUCCUGCAAAGUUUCAAUAAAAAUUUCCAAGUUUUUCUUACAAUUUACGUGGUUUCCAUAUUAUUUUUAUCAAUAUCGAUAAUAUCCCGAUAUUUCCAUCGAUAUUUCCGUGUUUUUAGACUACCGAUAUUUCUGAUAUCAUCGAUAUUUAAUACCUUGAACACAACUGAUAUCACACACUUGUUUAAUUUUAUAUGAACAAUAGAUAUUAUUGUCUUUGUAUACCAUGUCAACCACAACCACCAUAUAUUUAUUAUCCUAGACAUCCAACUACAACUAGCAUAAAGAGAAGAUUAUCAUAUAUUUCCAAAAGAAUUAGCAAGACUUUGAAGAAGUAGAAGUUUUAUCUUGGUUAUCUUGAACACCCUUCAUUUAUUAAUAAAUAUAAUAACACAAAAGUGCAGCAUAACGUAUUAGCAGCAAAAGGAGCAACAUAUUGACACACCUCAACCUGAAACAGGGCAUGCUGGCUAUCAUGUGUGGGUGAUGUAGCCAUGUGCACAGUACGGAAGCAAUAGAGAUAUAAGGAAUUACGAAUAAACAAAAACCAAAUCAACUAGAGUACUAGAUGAGAUAAGGUGUAAGUGCGAGAUUAAAUGUGAAAUACACAACCAGAGCAUAAAUAUCCUAGAUGCAGUCAAGCAGGACAAGUACUAAUUAUUCAACAUCCAAAGGUGACCCUACAUUAAUGAUGUUCUGUCAGAACCCCCGCCGAAAUCCUCGUGAUCCACCAAGCACUUCUACCUAAAACCUGGAGGGGCGCAAAACAGAAAGUGUGAGUGGGCAAAAACAAAGCUUUUCAAAAUCAUUUCAUUUCUCAAAAGUUCUAACCCCUCGCCGUAAAACCUAUAUAAUUUACCAGAAAAUAAUAGUAAAUAAUAAGCUGUAUCAGCAAUCAUACUCAAGAUGAAAAUCCAUAGAAGUAUACCAUGCCAAAGUAUCUCAAUGCAAUGCUAUAAGUAAACCAGAUACAAUGUAUCAAUGCCAGAUAUAGCAUCAGCCGAAUCUACCUAUGUGACCAGCAUGGCUGGGUUUAUAGCUCAUAACCAAUCUCAAUCAUAUCAAAUCAAAUCCUGCACAUGAGUCGGAACCACCUAAAGUGGUAUGUACGAUAAGACUAGGUGUAACAUAAAUAUGCUCUAGUGCUACAUUCACGUGAAGGUUGUGUGAAUAAUCGCGGGUCACCUACGAGUCAAAACCACCUAAAGUGGUAUGUACGACAAGCCUGUGCACCUAACUUGGAUCCAAGGUGAGCAUAUGGUGCGGGAGGUGAACAUCACAUGAAAGACUGUGCCCUAACUCUGGGCGGGAGCACUAACACCGGGGUGCAGGUUUAUGGGCUCUUAAUACAUCACAUCAUAUCUCACAUAACUGAAGUAACCUCAUAUCUAUAAUUUAUGAACUUACCUGGCACUUACCCUGUGCGUCCGCAACACCAAUUAUAAAUAUAUGCAACUACUAAUGCAUAAAUAAAAUAGUCAGAUACUUUGCAUGGCAUUUCAAAACGUAUAAUCAUUCAAUUUCAUUUUUUUGGGAAAAACUCAAGUAUACAGGUAUAUACGGAAAACCAAAAGCCCACUCAUUGAUAUGUCGAAGGGUCGUAGCCCUCGAGCCUCGAUUGAUGACACUCGUCCUCGGGAUAGGUCUCACCUAUAUGUGAAAUAACUGAAUAAAUGUUAUUUAAAGCACAUACACAAAACUAGGAAAUAACUUCUCAUACAUUGCUCAAAUGGGGUAUUUGAAUAUACCACCAUGACCUACUCAUCCUCAGAAACAUCCCCAUAUUUUUAGAAAUUUUUUUCGACCACUCACGCGCUGCCACGCGUGGGCCAAGGCACGGCCAGAUGAGCCCCCACGCGCGGCCAAACCCUAACUGAAACUUAACUGCCGUUAGGAAUAUUCCGUUAAACCUUAAUAGAAGUUAACGGCGUUACCUGACACCAUUAGAAUAUUCUGUCAGACUUGACAGAAUAUUCUCCUUCGUUUUCCUUGGUUUGCAGGAGAAUUUCGCCGGCGCCGCACGAUCACCGAAACUGGAAAAUAUAUAAACCUUCAUAUCUCGCUCAUUUUCCCACCAAAACUCAUGAAAUUUGUACCAAAAUGAAGCUUAGGACUAGAAGAACAAAACCUUACCACUUUCAAGCCUUGAAUUCCACGGAAUCUCGCCAGAGAAACCUCAAUAUUUCGGCCAAACUUGAAACUUGUCAAACUCAACUUCCCGACGUCCAAUUCACUUCGUUUUUCUUCUCCAAGCUUCGUGAAGAUGUCCUAAGACCAUCUCCAACCCUUGGGCUAAAAGCCAAAUUUUUUAGCUCGGAAAAUUUAGCUUUUAGCCCAGAAACAUCUUUUCUGCUCCAACCCUUCUACCCUAAAAUUUUAGCCCGGAAUUAUUAAAGAAUGAAAUUAGCCUAAAUUUUUUUCUUAAAUCAAUUUAAAAAAAAUAAAUAUGUAGAUUAUUGUAAAUUAAUUUUAUGAACAUUUUAAUCUAAAAAAAUUUAAAUUCCGAUAAACAUUUCGCAUUUAGCCCGGGGGGAAAGCUGGGGGGGUAUUUGGCCCAGAAAUAGCAUUUGGCAUUUAGCCUAAAAUUUUAGCAUGGGUUGGAGAGUGUUUUGGGGGGGGGUAAUUUGGGGGGUAAUUUGGCUUUUAGCCCAGGGUUGGAGAUGAUCUAAAGCUCACUAGUAGCUUAAAAUCUUUUAAAAACUUCGAAAUCACGAGUGCAUGAACAGUAACCCAAAACUGGGUUCUCGGGUUCUCAGGAAAAUGAGGUCUUCACGUUCUAAAAAUGGUAUAGAUGUGUUCCUAGACUCACAAGGAACACAAAGAUGACUUCAAAAACCUCGAUCCGUGAAGAAAUUGCUUGGUUUGAGGUUUGUCCGUACGUAUUGUACGGAAAAUGGAGAAAAACCGAGAGCGAAAAGAGAGAAAGAGAGUCAAUGGGAAAGGGUUGGUGUGUGUGGUCCUGAUUUUUCUUACAACCAACCAAAACAAUUAGAACCUUUAGUUCUAAUUGGGUCCAAAAGGUUAGGAAGAAAAUAAGUAAACCCAAUUGUUUAAUUGCUUAGCUUAUUUACACAACCCACAACUCAAGGCGAGCCGACCAGUGAGCGGAUUUUAGGUGGUCUAUCAAGCUGUUAUCGUCAUCAUUUUUAGUCAAGGCGAGCCGACCAACGAGCGGACUAGCGAGCCGGUAGAAAAUAUUCAAGGUCCGGGCAAGAGUGGAUUUUAGGUGGUCUAUAAAGCUGUUGCUUUCUUCCGUCUCUGCUGAUUUCUUGAAGAGAAGCCCCUUAUGAAUAUAAUCAAUUUGGAUCAAGCACAGAUCCCAAGGAGCCAACUCGAUUGAUCUGAGAUUUAACACAUCGUUGUCGUCAUUCGUUGGUCGGAUGGUGCUGGUGGAGAUGUGCCGAAUCGGAGUCAUUUCAAUUGAUUGCAGCUCACAACAUUGAAGGGUGAUGGUUAUAGAAUGUGGUGAUAUAGUACGGUGGAUUUGUUUACGAUGGAAGAUAGAACAACGAGAUAAGCAUGGAGGAUUUUAUAAUAAUCCUAACAUAUAAGAAAGAAGAUAUGUAUUUUGUAAACUAAAAGGGGCGUAGUCAUUGUGUAUUUCAGAUUAUUUUAAAAGAUUUUUUUAAUAAGUCACAGAUUUUAAAGGAUUGUAGAAUCCUUACAACUUUAAAAUAUUCUUAUAGAUUUUGAUAAAAGAUUUGAAAGGAUUUUAUGGACUUUGAUUAAAGAUUUGAAUGGAUUUUGAGAGACUCUCUUCUGGUUUUUAAAAAAUAUUUUUUUAAAUAAAUAAGAUUAAACUUGAAUGGAAAACUAUCCAAAACACUAAAAACUCUAGAAAACUUUAAUUUAAUCAUAAAGACAAAUAAUUUCAAAAAUGUCAAGGUUGCCCUUGAAAACCUUUAUACAACAACUUAAUACAAAAGAUAAUAAAGUAUAGGCAUGGGCUCCAGGAGACAAGGCAUGGGCUCCAGGAGACAAGGCAUGUCGGAAGUCCAUAUGCAUUCAGCAAGUUCACAUGCUGUUCAAAACAAAAGCAAAAGAAGACAAAUAAUUCGGUCCACUUUCAAAAACAGUAACAUCGAUAGUUUUCAAAAACAGUGCAAAGUUACUAUUUAAAAACGUUGUAAAUAGUUGUUUGCUUUUUGAAAAGUUGUUUUGUAGUUUAGGAAAUUGAUUUGUAUAUAAGGAAGUAUUUCCUCCCAUGCAGCGACACCUUAAUACACACUACUCCAAUACACCUCAAGCAUAGAACAUCCGAAACAUUCAUAUCCUUUGUAAACCUUUUAUAUAUCAAUGAAAGUUUAAGUGUACAUAUUCAAGCAAUCUCCAAGUCUUAAGUAAGUUUUUUUUCUUUUUUUUUUCUUUAUUUCUUUAGUAUGUUUGUUUAAUUAGACUUCUAAUCCAAAAUAGGGAAACACUAUUCUAGUUAUAUUAUUACCUGCUAAACUGACGAUCAUACUUUGUUUGAGCACUCUGUUAUAGUUGAAUGCUUACCAUACAAAUAAUUGGACAUUAACCAGGGUACCUCUGAGUUCUUCUUAGCUCUGAGUUUAGCCUUUAAGGCCUUAUACCUGCAUUCUGAGUGACCAUCAUGCGGAAACAUGUCGAGUUCCAAGUGCAAGGUUUUAUGCCUAGUUGUUAUAAUGGUCAUCCGACUAUUUAACUGGACCUUUGCUUUACGAAUUUGGUAUUAGAGCCAAGUUUAGCAUUUUAAUAGCAUAAUUAUAAUAGUAAAUUAAGUACCUUGAGGUAGGAAGUCAUUAACAAAACUGAUAUCACACACAUAUUUAAUUUUAUAUGAACAAUAGAUAUUAUUAUCUUUGUAGACCAUGUCAACCACAACCACCAUGUAUUUAUUAUCCUAGACAUCCAACUACAACUAGCAUAAAGAAUAGAUUAGCAUAUAUUUCCAAAAGAAUUAGCAAGACUUUGAAGAAGUAGAAGUUUUAUCCUGGUUAUCUUGAACACCCUUCAUUUAUUAAUAAAUAUAAUAACACAGAAGUGCAGCAUAACGUAUUAGCAGCAAAAAGAGUAACAUAUCAUACUUUAAAGACCUUGCGAGAAGAAAGAGAGUUUUUAAGAAACUAGUUAAUCAUAACUUUAGAGAAAGGUAGACUGUAGUUUAUGAUAGAUUAUCUUAAUUUAGAAAUUAGUGAACCUCAAAAAAGAAAAAUCACUCCAGACCAAAAUAGUUUAGUUUGUUAUUUUCCUUUGAGAAAGCAUAAUCAUAUUUGUUAUAGUGAAGAAGAUCCAUAAUCCAUAUGUAUAUAGUAUGAUCUAGUAUAUUAUAGAUCUUUUUGUUAGUCAAGCAGAAAAUAAUAAAACUAGAAAAUAAUAAAGCAUAAUUAUUUGUUAAAACAAGUUGUUAGAGCAUUUUUAGAAAAAAUUCCAUAAAAAUAAUUAGACAAAAUUUAGAUUUUAUUACAUCUAAGUUAGAAGAUAAUAAUCAAAAUAUCCAAAGGUUUCCUUGCAAGAGAGAGAUAAAAGAGCUUAUUGACCUCAUAGAUAGUAAGUCUAAGCAAGUAGAACUUAGAUCACUAGAAAUAGUUAAGCAAUUAAAAUUAGAAGUUCAAAAAAAUUCAAUUAGUGCAAAAAGAGUUGAGUGAACAAGUAGAUAAGUUACAUGAUAAAAUAGAUAAAUUAUUCAAUUAGUGCAAAAAGAGUUGAGUGAACAAGCAUUUUAAUAGUAUAAUUAUAAUAGUAAAUUAUGUACCUUGGGAUAGGAAGUCAUUAACACAACUGAUAUCACACACUUGUUUAACUUUAUAUGAACAAUAGAUAUUAUUGUCUUUGUAGACCAUGUCAACCACAACCACCAUGUAUAUAUUAUCCUAGACAUCCAACUACAACUAACAUAAAGAGAAUAUUAGCAUAUAUUUGUAAAAUAAUUAGCAAGACUUUGAAAAAGUAGAAGUAUUAUCUUGGUUAUCUUGAACACCCUUCAUUUAUUAAUAAAUAUAAUAACACAGAAAUGCAGCAUAACGUAUUAGCAGCAAAAAAGAGUAACAUAUCAUACUUUAGAGACCUUGCGAGAAGAAAGAGAGUUUUUAAGAAACUAAUUAAUCAUAACUUUAGAGAUAGGUAGACUGUAGUUUAUGAUAGAUUAUCUUAAUUUAGAAAUUAGUAAACCUCAAAAAAGAAAAAUCACCCUAGACCAAAAUAGUUUAGUUUGUUAUUUUCCUUUGAGAAAGCAUAAUCAUAUUUUGCAUAGUGAAGAAGAUCUAUAAGCCAAUAGUAUUAUAGAUCUUAUUAUUAGUGAAGCAGAAAAUAUAGAACUAGAAAAUAAUAAGCAUAAUUAUUUGUUAAACUAGUUGUUAAAGCUUUUUUUAGAAAAAUUCCAUAAAAACGAUUAGACAAAAUUUAGAUUAUAUUACAUUGAAGUUAGAAGAUAAUAAUAAAAAUAUCCAAAGGUUUCCUUGCAAAAGAGAGAUAAAAGAUCUUAUUGAUAUAAUAGAUAGUAAGUCUAAGCAAGUAGAACUUAGAUCACUAUAAAUAGUUGAGCAAUUAAAAUUAGAAUAUCAAAUAAUUGAAUUAGUGCAAAAAUAGUUGAGUGAACAAGUAGAUAAGUUACAUGAUAAAAUAGACAAAUUAUUCAAUUAGUGCAAAAAGAGUUGAGUGAACAAGCAUUUUAAUAGUAUAAUUAUAAUAGUAAAUUAUGUACAUUCAGGUAAGAAGUCAUUAACACAACUGAUAUCACACACUUGUUUAAUUUUAUAUGAACAAUAUAUAUUAUUGUCUUUGUAGACGAUGUCAACCACAACCACCAUGUAUUUAUUAUCCUAGACAUCCAACUACAACUAGCAUAAAGAGAAUAUUAGCAUAUAUUUCAAAAAGAAUUAGCAAGACUUUGAAGAAGUAAAAGUUUUAUCCUGGUUAUCUUGAACACCCUUCAUUUAUUAAUAAAUAUAAUAACACAGAAGUGCAGCACAACGUAUUAGCAGCAAAAAAGAGUAACAUAUCAUACUUUAUAGACCUUGCGAGAAAAAAGAGAGUUUUUAAGAAACUAAUUAAUCAUAACUUUAGAGACAGGUAGAAUGUAGUUUAUGAUAGAUUAUCUUAAUUUAGAAAUUAGUGAACCUCAAAAAAGAAAAAUCACUCUAGACCAAAAUAGUUUAGUUUGUUAUUUUCCUUUGAGAAAACAUAAUCAUAUUUUGUAUAGUGAAGAAGAUCCACAAGCCAAUAGUAUUAUAUAUCUUAUUAUUAGUCAAGCAGAAAAUAUAAAACUAGAAAAUAAUAAGCAUAUUAUUUAUUAAAUUAGUUGUUAGAGCAUUUCAGAAAAAUUCCAUAAAAACAAUUAGACAAAAUUUAGAUUAUAUUACAUCUUAGUUAGAAGAUAAUAAUAAAAAUAUCCAAAAGUUUCCUUGCAAAAGAGAGAUAAAAGAGCUUAUUGACAUCAUAGAUAGUAAGUCUAAGCAAGUAGAACUUAGAUCACUAGAAAUAGUUGAGCAAUUAAAAUUAGAAGUUCAAAAAAUGCAAUUAGUGCAAAAAGAGUUGAGUGAAUAAGUAUAUAAAUUACAUGAUAAAAUAGAUAAAUUAUUCAAUUAGUGCAAAAAGAGUAGAGUGAACAGGCUUUUUAAUAGUAUAAUUAUAAUAGUAAAUUAAGUACCUUGAGGUAGGAAGUCAUUAACACAACUGAUAUCACACACUUGUUUAAUUUUAUAUGAACAAUAGAUAUUAUUGUCUUUGUAGACCAUGUCAACCACAACCACCAUGUAUUUAUUAUCCUAGACAUCCAACUACAACUAGCAUAAAGAGAAUAUUAGCAUAUAUUUCCAAAAGAAUUAACAAGACUUUGAAGAAGUAGAAGUUUUAUCGUGGUUAUCUUGAACAUUCUUCAUUUAUUAAUAAAUAUAAUAACACAGAAAUGCAGCAUAACAUAUUAGCAUAAAAAAGGAGUAACAUAUCAUACUUUAGAUACUUUGCGAGAAGAAAGAGAGUUUUUAAGAAACUAAUUAAUCAAAACUUUAGAGACAUGUAGACUGUAGUUUAUGAUAGAUUAUCUUAAUUUAGAAAUUAGUGAACCUCAAAAAAGAAAAAUCACUCUAGACCAAAAUAGUUUAGUUUGUUAUUUUCCUUUGAGAAAGCAUAAUCAUAUUUUGUAUAGUGAAAAAGAUCCACAAGCCAAUAGUAUUAUAGAUCUUAUUAUUAGUCAAGCAGAAAAUAUAAAACUAGAAAAUAAUAUGCAUAAUUAUUUGUUAAAUUAGUUGUUAGAGCAUUUCAGAAAAAUUCCAUAAAAACAAUUAGACAAAAUUUAGAUUAUAUUACAUCUUAGUUAGAAGAUAAUAAUAAAAAUAUGCAAUGGUUUCCUUGCAAAAGAGAGAUAAAAGAGCUUAUUGACCUCAUAGAUAGUAAGUCUAAGCAAGUAGAACUUAGAUCACUAGAAAUAGUUGAGCAAUUAAAAUUAGAAGUUCAAAAAAUUCAAUUAGUGCAAAAAGAGUUGAGUGAAUAAGUAUAUAAGUUACAUGAUAAAAUAGAUAAAUUAUUCAAUUAGUACAAAAAGAGUAGAGUGAACAAGCAUUUUAAUAGUAUAAUUAUAAUAGUAAAUUAAGUACCUUGAGGUAAGAAGUCAUUAACACAACUGAUAUCACACACUUGUUUAAUUUUAUAUGAACAAUAGAUAUUUUUGUCUUUGUAGACCAUGUCAACCACAACCACCAUGUAUUUAUUAUCCUCGACAUCCAACUACAACUAGCAUAAAGAGAAUAUUAGCAUAUAUUUCCAAAAGAAUUAGCAAGAUUUUGAAUAAGUAGAAGUUUUAUCGUGGUUAUCUUGAACACCCUUCAUUUAUUAAUAAAUAU
rnacentral:lncRNA from 1 species